AUGAAUAUUCUUACGGAUGGUUUCGGGACGGCAGAUGCCGUUCCGGAUGAAAAGGGAAUGUGAAGGGACGGACCCAAGCCGGGCGUCUUCAUCACAGCCGACCCCGCGACUGUAGAGCGGUCAGGGUCUUCCGUCCGGCGUUCAGGCCAGUUCACGGCUCCUUUCGCAUGUUGCGGAUGAGGUGAAGUGGCUGGGGCGCCGGAAAAGCCACUGGAAAUGCAUUGUGAUCAGCCGGGGCAGGACGCCUCUAUUUCUACGAAUCGUCCGCCUUUUCACGAGAAUGCAGCCGGGAAGGCGAGGAAGAUCCACUGGUGCGAUCAGGGGCGACCUUAGAUGGGUCGCCCCGGUCGGCCGACACCCGCGAGCCAGGAGACCUGCCAUGCGUGCCGGGCGAAG
rnacentral:ncRNA from 1 species